CCCGGAGUUGCCGCCAUCGCCAGCACUGCGCGGCUGCAGCCCGAAGGGUUUAAGCACGGUCACGCGUGCAGCCCCGAGGCCUCAACCGCGUCUCAGCGCUCCGCGGGCCGCUCCGGGCCUCCUUACGCUUUCAGCAGCAGUUCGGUACCGAAAGGGAAUCCGCUCGUUUGAGAGAUGUCAGCUCGUGCCGUGGGGCGGAGAGCGGAUCUGUGAGCGCGGAGCUGCGCUCGGAUCGCCUCGGCCCCGCGCAUGGAAACAAGCAUUUUUACAAGCCCCGAAAUGACCAUUUUUCCUAAAGCUCGCAUGGCGCACCAUUAAGGUAUAAGCUCAGGCUUUUUCCAUGUUAUAAUCCAAGGAAAGCUCGUUAUUUUCACGAUCUGACUCAUUUGGUUCCCUGAACGUUACCAGUUGGCGAUGCGGCUCAGCAUCAGUACAAACUGUGACUGUCAAAACGUUCUCAGCUCUGUUUGAAUCCACCACGUCUUACUGUGACCUUUCAAAGCUCAGAAACUGCCUAUUUUAAAUUGUUACCCCUGACAUGUGCUGCGGAUAUUUUUAACAGACUGUUUACUGGAAUUCUGGUUUCUGUUCCGCUCUUUUUUUUUUUUUUUUCUUUCUCUUUCAACAGCUUUUCUGCUUAGCAGCUCCCAGGCCCACACGCGGCACAGCACUGCAGGACAUCUGCCUGCAAGGCAUUGGACAACACGCUGCUGGGAGGGGGAAAGGGAACUGAAAGUCAGAAAGCAGUUGCAAUGCACCAGGGUUGUUUCUGUCAUCUCUGCUCCAGGUCCACCAUACUUGCACGGUCUGCCCAGCAUCCCUUUGCACAGUGGACGCGGUUGGAAACAUCAAGUCACUGCCUGUGGACACCUGGAGAGAAAAGCACUGUGUCAGCCUGCAGCUCCUGAACCACCUGGAUAUUGGCAACUAACAGCACGUAGGUAUUCACUGCAGGCAGAAGCGAUAAGGCGAGGAUUUGUAUCCUCUUACCCUCCACUUACUCAAAAUAAAUAAAUGAGAAAGAAAGAAAAAAGCCACAUUUAAUUGCACCACAAAGCAAACAGGAAGCCAGAGCAGUUUUAGGAGAGUUGAAACUAUUUGCUCCAUGUGGUUAACACUACCAAACAGGCGGGCAACCGCGUUUUUGCAUCAGCUAUGCAGUUGGUCUGUAAAUAUGGCAGGUAACUUGCUCUUAUUUAAAAGUCAAAAGAAGUUUUCUUGGCCACAGGAUACAAAAUAAGAUCACGGCCACCAGAAGCAUACGGCAGCGAUCCCCGCCGGCUGCAGGAGGAGAGCAGCAGCCUCACCAGUAAGAGCAGAGAGAAACCCAUGGUCACACCAAGAGCACACACUGAGGACCAUCAUUUCUUUUUGCUUCUCGCACACAGCUCAGUGACAGCUCAAUGCUGGCUUCUCGUUCUUUGUGGGGGUUUCUUGGAACCCACGUAUGUCAGGCUUUUCUUGAAGCUAGCAAUGUGCACACUGAGUGGAAGGGAGGAGAGCUGAAGGCUUCACUAGUUAUAAUGAACUUCAUAAACGCUGUAAUACCUCUGUAUCUUACAGGUGUUGGCUCAAGCAGAGCCAAAAGAGGAAGAACAGACCUUCCUCGUUUGAAAAAUCAGUGCCAGUGCUCUCAGGAAAGCACUGACUAAUCCAAACCAACUGCAGGUCCAACACUCAACUUUGUUGGUGAAAUUCAGAUGUGAAUCCACCAUUUUCAUGUCAAGCUCUGUAUGAUUCAUACAGCAAUCCCUGCUGUGGUACGACACUGGAGGUAGCGUGCACAGCUUGCUCAUCACCAUUAUGGAGCAAACAUCCAUCCCAGGAAAGCAGGUUCCCAACUAGCACUGGAAGCACAGCAGCACCAGCUCUGACAAAUUGCCAUUUGAAGGCAAUACAGCACUGCUAACAACCUCUGCUUUUCAUUAUUAAUGCAUUCAGAAUACAUAUACUUGUUUGUACUGCUUAACAAGGCUCUAGGUGGAAUGGUACCAUAACCUCUGCACACCCAGGCUUUUCCUCCUUUGUCCUUGACGUGUGAAAAAACUGAGAUGCAGAAAUGAAUUCCCAAAAGUUACGUAGGAAGAUAGUGGGGGAGGGUGGGGAAAAAAAAAAAAAAGGAAAAAUAAAAAUCAGAUUAGCUCUCUAGUGUCCUUACCAAAGGACUUGUUCUACUAGGAUAAUGUAAAUUUACUUGUAAUUCUUACCCCCCCGCAGAGGGGAGAAGAAAAGUGGAUGAAAUGGUUACUGAAGCUAACAGUUUGGUACAGAGUAAUUCAGGCAGGUUGGGAGGUGAUGUGCACUGGAAACCUGAUGGGUGGGAGCUCAAGGAGAUGACGACUGGAAAGGAGAGCACAUGGAAGAUUUCUCCAAGGAAGAGCAAAUGUUAGGAAACAGAUUUACCACAAGGACUGUGGGCUGGUAACCCUUCACAAUGGUCUACGGAGAGAACAGAAACCAGCAAAAGGCUGUGUUGAAUAAAACCGAGAGGAGAAAUUCACCAGCACACCUUCUUAAAAUGAGGGCUAAAACCACCACCACCUCUCUCAAGGUCAUUAUCACACGUCUCAGGUCCACAUUCCCACAGCUCAAGUCCCACCAAAACGGCACAUCCUCAGCUGGGCACAAGGGAGAGAAGGAAACGAGGGGUCACAAGCACAUUUGCCAUCCUUUACCAAGUAUGGGCUGCGGAACCCCACUAACAGUGUUGAAGGGCUUGCUGAACACCCAGCUCCUCACAUCGUGAAGCCCACAUCCUGACCCAUGCGUCCUAAACCAACCCUGAAACAGCUGCUGCUUUUUUCCCAGUCUUCACCUUCACUCAAGGAAGCCUCCCAGCACAGGGAUAUCUCUUUCGAGAAAAACACAGCAGUUAUUUCAUUGCUUGGGCUUUGGGUCAGCUGACCACAUGGUAGUUUUAAUAUGAAUUGUUUUUCUUUCAAAAACAAGGCCAUAGUUUGCUUGUUGUUAUUGACACAAGAGAGCUAUUUUGGAGCAGAAAACCACAACAAAGCUUCUGCACGUUUUUCUCUUCAUUUGAUGGACAUCAAACAAAUAACCCAUGAAGUAAGGUCUUCCCAUGAGCCGUACAGAAGCUGAUGGUGAAUUAUCAGGGAUAGGAUUCGAGGAAUUGAGCAGCCUGUUUGUUCAAGCAGCGUUAAAGCCUGGGUCUGCCUGAGUGACAGAGGGAGGGAAUGGCAACGUACUCAGCUCACCACUGCAGCCCUCAGCAGGAAUGUGCUGGCAUCCUUGCCCAGGUGAAAACAGUGUUUGGUUUGCGUGACUGUGCAUUUCAAUGAAGGGCAUCAUGGACUUGAGAACAAUGCACAUUUCCUUAUAUGCAGAGGAAAUAACUGACCUAAACCUGAGUUUAGUUGCAACAAGCAGCUAAGCUUCUUAUCUUGAUCAUCAGCAAAAGUCCAGGACUUCUGAAGGAGAAAAAUACCUGCAGGCACUCUCCUUAGGAGGCUAUAAAGUGAAUCAGGAGACCAGGCUUGAUACUCCUUGGUUGUAACUUUGAAAUUCUAAUGAAGAAACAACUUCAACACGUGCUGAAGCACUGCAUGGAGGAAAAAGUGAGUUCAUGUAAUUGGUGGCGGUGCAAGAAGCUCAACAUCCCAGAGAACACAAGGGAAGUAUUAGUCAAAUGCUAGACUGGGGGAGAUGCUGCUGACCCAGUUCUGUGAGACGCUGGGGACACGGUUUGGGUUUCUGACUGCAGAGAUGCAUGAAAAUAGUUUGGGGAAAAAAACAAAACAACAUAACACAAAAGCAAAUCAACACCAUCAAAGAAAUCACCCCAAAAUUACACACGCUGCUUCAAAACCCCAAGACUUACUGCUUUCAAGUGCAGGACCUGGCAUCAGGUGCCCACAUCCUAACUCUUACUGGCACUGGUGCUGUGGUCUUUAAUAAGCUGUUUCACCUGUUUCUCUGUAUGCAGAAUACAGAUAACAUAACUUCCGCCUCUCACAGGGCAUUUUGCAAAGCUUUGUUGUUGUAAAAGUCAUCUGAGGUCUUUAACUGGUGGUGCUACAGAGGUUCAAAGCAUCUGUGUCAACACAAGAUAUUUAUUUCUUCACUGCUUUGAAAUAGAAUUGCAUCUGCACACACAUUUGUCCCCUACACAAGGAAUGCCUCUCAGAAAUUUACUGCUGCUGAAACAAAACGAGUCCAGCAGAAGCACAGAGCAUCUCUUUUCUCACUAUCAG